rnacentral:rRNA from 1 species
UACGUAGGUCCCGAGCGUUGUCCGGAUUUAUUGGGUUUAAAGGGUGCGUAGGCGGAUCGUUAAGUCAGUGGUCAAAUUGAGGGGCUCAACCCCUUCCCGCCAUUGAAACUGGCGAUCUUGAGUGGAAGAGAAGUAUGCGGAAUGCGUGGUGUAGCGGUGAAAUGCAUAGAUAUCACGCAGAACCCCGAUUGCGAAGGCAGCAUGCCGGCUUCCUACUGACGCUGAAGCACGAAAGCGUGGGGAUCGAACAGG